UGGGGAAUAUUGGACAAUGGGGGCAACCCUGAUCCAGCGAUGCCGCGUGUGUGAAGAAGGCCUGAGGGUUGUAAAGCACUUUAGUUGGGGAAGAGAUUACAGAGUUUAAGAGAUACUGUAUGAGACAUGAACCAAAGAAUAAGCACCGGCUAACUCCGUGCCAGCAGCCGCGGUAAUACGGAGGGUGCAAGCGUUAAUCGGAAUGAUUGGGCGUAAAGAGCGCGUAGGUGGUUUGCUAUGUGUGUUGUGAAAUACUUGGGCUUAACCUGGGGAUGUCAACACAAACGGGCGAACUAGAGUGAAGUAGAGGGUUGUGGAAUUUCCGGUGUAGCGGUGAAAUGCGUAGAGAUCGGAAGGAACACCAGUGGCGAAGGCGACAACCUGGGCUUUAACUGACACU
rnacentral:rRNA from 1 species